rnacentral:lncRNA from 1 species
CAUAGCCUGAGGUGCUCUCACUGGAAGCCACUUUUAAACAUUGCUGUAGGUGGAGAAUUUUCCCUUGCUGAAAUUCUACUGUCAAGUUUUGGCAGUGUUUGCUUUUCUUCUAUUCCUUCUAAAGCCAAAAGAGAAAAUGAAGUUCAGAAAUAGUGUUACCCAAAUGAAGAGACCCUCUGCUUUUCAACAACUCAUUUGCAUCAGAAAAUUCAUUCCCAGUGCUGAAAAAAGAAGAGGAGAGAAAAGAGAAACACUGCGUUCCUGAAAUAUUACCAAAGACCACAGAAAGAAACCAAAAGCAACACAUGGGAGAGAACCCUGCAAAGGGCUAAGGCAGGGCUUUUCGAAUUUAAGCCAAAGCAUGAGCAAAAGAGCAAUUCCUGGGAUAUCCAGAAAAUAACUAAGGAUGAAAACAACUCAUAUUAGUGAGAGUUUACUGUGUACUGCCCUUCCUUUUUUUAGAUGAGAUAUGACCCAAAAAUACAGUGAGUAUUUAAAUUUCAAAAGUUUAGUAUAGUAAAAGAUACAUUGCCAUGAAUCCUCAGAAUACUCCCCUUGCUUCCAACACAGUUAUCCCCCA